GCUCUCAAGAUGAGGUCACACUCUCUGUUCAUCUGCCUGCUGCUUUUCUGUAUGAAGGGUGCCAGCGGGGAAACUGUGAUGACCCAGACACCAGAAUCCCUGGCGGUGUCUCCAGGAGACAGAGUCACCAUCAACUGCAAAGCCAGUUCCAAUGUGGGCAGCUACGUGGCCUGGUACCAACAGAAAUCAGGACAAGCUCCUAAGCUCCUCAUCCACAGCGCCUCCACACGUCCCUCUGGGAUCCCAGACCGGUUCAGUGGCAGUGGGUCUGGCACUGACUUCACUUUGACAAUCACCAGUUUUCAAGCUGAUGAUGCUGGCAGUUAUUACUGUCAACAGGACUACGACUCGUCUCACACACAGUGA